UGCCAUGAUCUGCUUAGACUUU
rnacentral:piRNA from 1 species